UACGAAGGGUGCAAGCGUUACUCGGAAUUACUGGGCGUAAAGCGUGCGUAGGUGGUUUGUUAAGUCUGUUGUGAAAGCCCCGGGCUCAACCUGGGAAUGGCAAUGGAUACUGGCAAGCUAGAGUGCGGUAGAGGGUAGUGGAAUUCCCGGUGUAGCGGUGAAAUGCGUAGAGAUCGGGAGGAACACCAGAGGCGAAGGCGGCGACCUGGACAAGCACUGACACUCAACUGCGAAAGCGUGGGUAGCAAACAGGAUAGACUACCCUCGUAGUC
rnacentral:rRNA from 1 species